ensembl:lncRNA
GUAGUGUCAAAACUGGCACACUGCGGUUUUAACUUCAAAUAACCCCAGCAAGAUUUGACAGGGAAAAAAAAUACUUUAACAAUGACCCAUUGAAAGGUCUCAUUAUCUUUCCCAUACAGUGCACAUAGGAAUAAGCUGCUCACAUUCCUUUUAACCUUGCCGGAAAAGAUUCACUUCUAAUCAGAAGGGCUACACAUUCGUGAAGAGGAGAAAGAUGUUCCAUUAGUAUGCAGAAAGGAUCCUUCCAGGUACUGGCCAUAAUAAGGACAGAAGUCUGGAAGAAAUAGAAUGGUCCAAAAGUUCUGAAGUUUUUAAAAAUUUAUUCAUUAAAAAUUUCUUAUUCAGCUUGAGAGAGUUUACAGUUUUUCUAGGCAGCAGUACCUUAGAGGUCCAUUUGUAUCCAUGAAUGCUCAGGGAUAAUGAAAAUUUGUGUAUGGAAUUGUAAAACCAAAAACUAAAGAAUAUGUGGGCAGGUUUAAAUAAUAGGAUGCCACUUUUCAGAAUUUGUGAGUAAAAGACUUCUACACUUUCUUUCUUUAUCUUUUUGCUCAGCUGCUUAAGUUGAAAACAUUUGUUUGUUUUUUUUUUUUUAAAUGAAGCCUGCACAGGCAGAAAAUGGUGAGUUUUUGUCCCCUAGUGGAUGAAGUGAUAUUUUGGCCCCUAAUACAGAGGACAUCUGGGAAAAAAUCCCAUCCGAGUUGAGGAAGAUUAAUGAGGAGUUGGAAUUGGGAACUGACAUCUGCAGACUGGGUUGAACUCAAGAUGUGAACUGCCUUUUAGAGCUGCCAGUUUUUGUCCACAGUGACCAUCAGGGAGCCUAGGCUGGUAAAAUUCGCUACCUCUAAGCUC